rnacentral:rRNA from 1 species
ACGCUCGACACCUACGGGAGGUAGCAGUGGGGAAUAUUGGGCAAUGGGCGCAAGCCUGACCCAGCAACGCCGCGUGAAGGAAGAAGGCUUUCGGGUUGUAAACUUCUUUUGUCAGGGAACAGUAGAAGAGGGUACCUGACGAAUAAGCCACGGCUAACUACGUGCCAGCAGCCGACGGUAAUCUGAGGCGGGCUGGCAAGGC